CCUGAGAUGACUGCCUGAGAUGACUGCCUGAAAUGACUGCCUGAGAUGACUGCCUGAGAUGACUGCCCGAGAUGACUGUCAAUUUACAUCCUGUGGACAAGUGCUGCAAGGCCAACGCCAUCUAGAAUGUGGAGUCCUAAUCAUUUUGUUCUAUUAUUGCUAGCCAAGGAACUGCAAACGAUGACCUUCUCGGAGCAGAACAAAAGCUAUUCGGAGGCAUGUCAUUUAGUGUUAUCAGUUAACUGGACUGUGUGAGAGUUUUCUUGCAAAAUGUUUGCCAAGGUGGCGAUCGAAGGUAGACAGCAAGGUCGAAGCUCAGCAAGAUUGAAGAUUGUUCGAGGAAGAAGGAGUUCGUUGACUAAAAGGUUUAUCUGAACAGCUAGUUGUCAAGAUGAACGUGAAGAGAAAAAGAUAAAAUGGCGAUGCCAAAGAAAACCAUCCACGUGGACCGUUCGCGGACCUUUCUGAGCAAGAUUG
rnacentral:lncRNA from 1 species